rnacentral:rRNA from 1 species
GAUGAACGCUGGCGGCGUGCCUAAUACAUGCAAGUCGAGCGAACGGACGAGAAGCUUGCUUUUCUGAUGUUAGCGGCGGACGGGUGAGUAACACGUGGAUAACCUACCUAUAAGACUGGGAUAUCUUCGGGAAACCGGCUCUAAUCCCGGAUAAUAUUUUGAACCGCAUGGUUCAAAAGUGAAAGACGGUCUUGCUGUCACUUAUAGAUGGAUCCGCGCUGCAUUAGCUAGUUGGUAAGGUCACGGCUUACCAAGGCAACGAUGCAUAGCCGACCUGAGAGAGUGAUCGGCCACACUGGAACUGAGACACGGUCCAGACUCCUGCGAGAGGCAGCAGUAGGGAAUCUUCCGCAAAGGGCGAAAGCCUGACGGAGCAGCGCCGCGUGAGUGAUGAAGGUCUUCGGAUCGUAAAACUCUGUUAUGAGUGAAGAACAUAUGUGUAAGUAACUGUGCACAUCGUGACGGUACCUAAUCAGAAAGCCCCGGCUAACUACGUG